ACAAAAUCCUUCCCCAAAACAAAAUGUCUGAUACGAAAACCCUAUCUCUUUCUUUUCCAAGCCACUCUCCCCUCUCACUCUUCCCCGAUCCCUCUCGUUCUCUCUCUCCUGCUCGAAACACCGGCAGUCGGGGGCUUCAACUACGACGGCGAGGGGCCAUAUGAGGCUUCAACAACGGUGGAGAUCGACGGGGCUGACAGAGGCUCAGCGGGACUGCUGGAGGCUUGACGACGCGGACUCGGAGAUUCGUUGGUGCAAGUAAAGAUCUCUCUCUCUCUCUCUCUGUAGUUGAUCGACGACUGGGUUGCGUGGGCUGGAGAUGGUGGUGCGACGGGGUGCCAUGGGUGUUCAGUCCACGGCUCUGUGUGGUGUUGUCUUCUCUAAAGUCGACCACACUCCUCCAGUUGACGGUACACUGACGCUCCUCGAGUCGUGCGAAGCCGCCGCUCGCCACCGUUAUUGGCCCCAAGAUGAGAUAUAGCCAUGUUGAUUAUGCUCAAAUUUAUGGGAUGAUUAGAUUCUUGUUCCGUAGACUGCUCAAUUAUGUCCACUAUAUCCAUUAAGAGUAAAAGAAGUCUCAAUCUGAAAGUUACAAAAUUGAGGCUCGGGAUUCAAGUAACAAGAUUGUAAGGCUUAUUUGUGUCAAAGGUGGAAGUUAUAUGUGUUGUUAUGAUUGUUCUUUAUUCAUUUUGAUGUUUAUUUGUUGUCUUUAGAUAGUUUGUUGUGUAAAUGUGAGUACGAUUUGUAUAUUUGAGUUUGAUUUUGGAUAAUUAAUAAAGAUGUAUUUUGGAUACUUA